rnacentral:rRNA from 1 species
UGCAAGUCGAACGAGAGAAUUGCUAGCUUGCUAAUAAUUCUCUAGUGGCGCACGGGUGAGUAACACGUGAGUAACCUGCCCCCGAGAGCGGGAUAGCCCUGGGAAACUGGGAUUAAUACCGCAUAGUAUCGAAAGAUUAAAGCAGCAAUGCGCUUGGGGAUGGGCUCGCGGCCUAUUAGUUAGUUGGUGAGGUAACGGCUCACCAAGGCGAUGACGGGUAGCCGGUCUGAGAGGAUGUCCGGCCACACUGGAACUGAGACACGGUCCAGACACCUACGGGUGGCAGCAGUCGAGAAUCAUUCACAAUGGGGGAAGCCCUGAUGGUGCGACGCCGCGUGGGGGAAUGAAGGUCUUCGGAUUGUAAACCCCUGUCCUGUGGGAGCAAAUUAAAAAGAUAGUACCACAAGAGGAAGAGACGGCUAACUCUGUGCCAGCAGCCGCGGUAAUACAGAGGUCUCAAGCGUUGUUCGGAAUCACUGGGCGUAAAGCGUGCGUAGGCUGUUUCGUAAGUCGUGUGUGAAAGGCGCGGGCUCAACCCGCGGACGGCACAUGAUACUGCGAGACUAGAGUAAUGGAGGGGGAACCGGAAUUCUCGGUGUAGCAGUGAAAUGCGUAGAUAUCGAGAGGAACACUCGUGGCGAAGGCGGGUUCCUGGACAUUAACUGACGCUGAGGCACGAAG